UGCCUUGGUGUUACAUGCUUUUCUCUUGUUGAAUAGCAGAGUGUCAAACAAGGCAAAUAACAAUUUAAUUUUCAUCAGUAUGCUCUUAAAUCACAAUAUUUCAGAGCUUAGAUGUAAAUUAAACAUGU